GUCUCCAUCGUCUAGUGGUUAGGACACAAGGUUUUCAUCCUUGUAACACGGGUUCGACUCCCGUUGGAGAUA
rnacentral:tRNA from 1 species